rnacentral:rRNA from 1 species
GAUGAACGCUGGCGGCGUGCCUAAUACAUGCAAGUCGAGCGAACGGACGAGAAGCUUGCUUCUCUGAUGUUAGCGGCGGACGGGUGAGUAACACGUGGAUAACCUACCUAUAAGACUGGGAUAACUUCGGGAAACCGGAGCUAAUACCGGAUAAUAUUUUGAACCGCAUGGUUCAAAAGUAAAAGACGGUCUUGCUGUCACUUAUAGAUGGAUCCGCGCUGCAUUAGCUAGUUGGUAAGGUAACGGCUUACCAAGGCAACGAUGCAUAGCCGACCUGAGAGGGGGAUCGGCCACACUGGAACUGAGACACGGUCCAGAGUCCUACGGGAGGCAGCAGUAGGGAAUCUUCCGCAAUGGGCGAAAGCCUGACGGAGCAACGCCGCGUGAGUGAUGAAGGUCUUCGGAUCGUAAAACUCUGUUAUUAGGGAAGAACAUAUGUGUAAGUAACUGUGCACAUCUUGACGGUACCUAAUCAGAAAGCCACGGCUAACUACGU